rnacentral:rRNA from 2 species
ACCCGGGUUGCGGACAGUGUCUGGUGGGUAGUUUGACUGGGGCGGUCUCCUCCUAAAGAGUAACGGAGGAGCACGAAGGUUGGCUAAUCCUGGUCGGACAUCAGGAGGUUAGUGCAAUGGCAUAAGCCAGCUUGACUGCGAGCGUGACGGCGCGAGCAGGUGCGAAAGCAGGUCAUAGUGAUCCGGUGGUUCUGAAUGGAAGGGCCAUCGCUCAACGGAUAAAAGGUACUCCGGGGAUAACAGGCUGAUACCGCCCAAGAGUUCAUAUCGACGGCGGUGUUUGGCACCUCGAUGUCGGCUCAUCACAUCCUGGGGCUGAAGUAGGUCCCAAGGGUAUGGCUGUUCGCCAUUUAAAGUGGUACGCGAGCUGGGUUUAGAACGUCGUGAGACAGUUCGGUCCCUAUCUGCCGUGGGCGCUGGAGAACUGAGGGGGGCUGCUCCUAGUACGAGAGGACCGGAGUGGACGCAUCACUGGUGUUCGGGUUGUCAUGCCAAUGGCACUGCCCGGUAGCUAAAUGCGGAAGAGAUAAGUGCUGAAAGCAUCUAAGCACGAAACUUGCCCCGAGAUGAGUUCUCCCUGAGACUUAGAGUCUCCUGAAGGAACGUUGAAGACGACGACGUUGAUAGGCCGGGUGUGUAAGCGCAGCGAUGCGUUGAGCUAACCGGUACUAAUGAACCGUGAGGCUUAACCUUACAA